rnacentral:rRNA from 1 species
GACGUAGGGCGCGAGCGUUGUCCGGAUUUAUUGGGCGUAAAGAGCUCGUAGGCGGCUCGUUGCGUCGGCUGUGAAAACCCGCAGCUCAACUGUGGGCUUGCAGCCGAUACGGGCGGGCUGGGAUUCGGUAGGGGAGACUGGAAUUCCCGGUGUAGUGGUGAAAUGCGUAGAUAUCGGGAGGAACACCAGUGGCGAAGGCGACUUCCUGGCCUGUUCUUGACGCUGAGGCGCGAAAGCUAGGGUAGCAAACGGG